CACAAAUGCUGCUGAGAAUGAUAACAGCCGUCAGGUUUACAAAAGGGAAGUAGGUGAAUCUGAAGGCCACCUUGUACAAGAAGUAGGAGAUCAUCAAAGAGCUGACGACAGUGAGCAGGACCAUCAAGCUCAACUGGAUGCAAAGAGAUGCAGAGAAAAGGAAGAGGAGCUGUAUGGCAGGUGACAGGCUGGAACAAGCUGCUCCUGAGACCCACAGGAAUAAGUUGCAUUUGUCAUGCUGCUUCCCCAUCUCUUCCCUUGAGACGUCUAGACAAGAUAAUAAUCCAAUUUAUGAAACUGCCCAAGUCCCUCUAAGUGCAGCAACGCUUUUCCAAGGCAAGCAACAGUGCGCAGGCAGCCCACCAGAUGUGCAGGAACCAGCAAAAGGGCUGAAGCCUCUUCCCACAGUAAAACAGUCAGGAUAACACCAUUGUUAUUGCUUAUGUUUGCUUGUGCUGUUAAGGGGACGAGUGCAUGUAUCUGGAGAUUAUGGGAGGGCUUAUUGCAUUUCACGCUCACCUAUUAUGUGGGUUCACUGCCCAGCUGGCAGUGAGGGAUGGGCACCUGUCAAGCAAUUCAUCUCCUCCUUUGGCAGGGUCAAAUUCUUGUACACUGGAAAAUUUCUGUGUAGUUACUCCUUGUUUUGCUUUUUCAAUCUAGUAGCAAAAUAGCAUGUAUCCUUAAGAAGCCUUACAAUCUUUUUUUUUUUUUUUAAUUAGACUCCUGAGUAUGCUAAAUCUUCAUGAAAAA